UCUUCCCAUUCCGAACAGAGAAGUUAAACCUUAUCACGCCGAUGGUACUGCGAAAGCGGGAGAGUAGGUAAUCGCCGUCU
rnacentral:rRNA from 1 species